CCGAGUUGUUGACAGCGACAUCUGGUGUUUGCGUGGGUUUUACACCCCUGUCGUCUGCUGGACAGCCGAAUCAGGCAGUUUGAUACAGAUUGUGUUUAAAUAUCGCUACUCUCCUAACUUUAAAAGCAAAGUUGAGAAUGGAAAAGCUAGAAUUUGUGCUGAUAAUUUCAAGGAUGAAGAUAUUCAAAGGGCCAAUAAAAAAGUUGGAUUAAGUUUGGAGCAUCACCCACAAAAUUAUUGCCAAGAAAAUCACAUGAAGUACCUCCCUGGCCACCAGGAAGAAUUGUUCCCAAAUAUUCAUCUAUAAAUGACUGUCCACCUUCAUCAUCUCAAUCUGCAAUUAUUAACUACAAUUCCAUCAAUGAAAUAAUUUCAGCUUUUGAAAAACUGGAGAAUACAUUAAAUCAAUACAUACAAAGCUCAUUUCACAUACUAUUUUAAUCACAGUUUACAGGCGACGUCGGAAAUGAGCCUUCUAAUUUGCCAAUUUGACCAAAAACAAUUUUCCUUUUCUUGCGCUUUCGCUGGAGUUUAUUCUCCCACAAUAUCACCGGCAAUUUCAAUCCUACUCAAAAACUUGGUUGAUCUCACCCCGAGUUUGGGAUAUGAUAUUGUUUCCACAAAAAGUUCAUGGAUUCCCAAAAGUGUUCCAGAAAUAGAAGAUGAUGGCAGAAUUUCCUUGAAAUUAAGAUAUAUCAGCUCUCAAUGUGAAAUAUUGUAUUUUUAUGCUGGUACACGACCCAACAUCUGCUACACUUGUAUGCAUCUCCAUGUGCAUGAUCAAGACAGUGACAAGAGAAAAUUCAGCCUUUUUACAACAUCUAUGAUAAAAGAUCAGUAUGGCUUGAGAAAGAUUUUCUAAAAUACCUGGAUAUUGGGAAGAAAAGGCAUACAGUCGGCCAUUAGUGGAAGAAGUUAAUCACCAGAAAAUGCUGCUCAGUGAUGCCACAAAAAAUGGCUUGAGAAUGGCAUCUAUUUCCAUGGCUGCGAUUAUUCGUAUUGUUUUGGACAGUGGUGCGAGCUAUGUUUUACCACGGCGAAUGAACCAAGACCCUCUAGAGCAGGGGGCUGCAACUACUUUUCAUACUACCUUUCAUACUCAUUUUUGUACCUAAUUUCUUGGUUUGCGGCCCGCGUGGCCAAUAAAUUUCAAAAAGUGGCCCGCGACAUGUUUUGAAUUGGAGACCCCUGCUAUUUUGGUCACCAACGCGAGCGAGGUCCCAAGUUUGUGCUCCCACAAUUAUCAAUGAACAUUGUUAUUUAAAGUUAACUAUUGCUCUACAACCGAAUAUUUCUCUGUAUGCUCUAUGUCGCUCUUUUAUUUCCGUUGAUGUGGACAAAUGUAAUUUUUACAGUUGUUUUCAAGAGAAAUUCGAGCUAAAUAUCUACUAAAGGUGUUUUUCAGAUUGAUCUAUCCGAGCCGUGGUAGCAAUAUUCCCGUUUGUGAGUGGGCCGUGGGAAAUUUUUAACCAGUUUUCACCCAAUCAUAACCCCCCCCCCUCAUAAAAAAUUUGAGAAAAAACUUGUCUAUAUACCACUUCUCACGAAGCACAUUACCGAAUAACUAAUGCAAUUUUGCGGUUUGCGGUUUAUGUUACGCCCGACAUAGGGAUGAACAAUCAAUUUGGAAUUGAGAGUGCAGAAUGCGCUUCAACUAAGAACAUAAGAUUCAUUAAAAGCAAAUAUUUGAAUGAACUGCUCAUUUUAACAUUUGCCAAGGCACCCGACGUGUAACAGGAACAUCUCGCCUAACUACACAGGUCAUGUAGCAUUUUUUGUUUUUAGUCUCAAUUUUCCUUUUUUAUUCAAAUUUUCCAAGAUUUCCUGAAACAUACUAAUCAGUUUAAAAUGUCUAGAAUGUAGGAAACUUGGUUAUGUUUUGUUUAUCACCAUAAGAACAACCGUCAUACGAUAAACAAAAACAAUGGUGGUAACUGGCAUCCAACGUCGCUUAAUCUUGUCUCUGGUAUAACUCUCAUAGUCUUUCCGCUGCAAAUAUAUAUAUACCUUUUAUUCAUGUAAUAAGAUGGUAAUAAGCAGCUGGAGUCGUUUUCUUCUAUUAACUAGAGUGACAAUGAGUUACCGGGUCGCUUAAAUGUAUCUCAAAGCCUGGCUUUUGUUAGUAUUUUAUAUUUGACUUUUUUUCAUAAUGAUUCAAUGUUAGACUCACUCCCUCAUAAGUGACGCUGCUCAAUAACCAACACUGGUUUAUCGCGUCUCCCUUCACACUGAAACGCUUUUUUUACUUUAAUUAUAUUUGCCCAUUGUGUACUUUCGGCAUGUGAUAAAAUAAACUACUGACUGUAAAAUAAACUAAAACAAUGGGAGAUGAUGUCUAUAUGUAUGAAACAUAGUUUCAUUGUGAUAGUUUCUUCAUUGUUUUAAACACAUGUAAACAUCUACAAUAGGAUAUAUGUGCAUAUGUGUAAGUUAUGAAAUGCCCCUAUGUGAUUGUGUGAUGUCCCUUGUGCAAUUGUUCAUUUGUAUUGUUACAAAAAAAAACAUUUUGAAACAAUAUUGAUUUUCAAUUCAGCGAUUCAGACAAGUAUAUAUAUAUACCUGAUAAUAGUGAAAUAAUUCAAUUACAGUUUAAGAAUUAGAGUAAAUGCAAAGGCCAAAUAAAGUCACCAACACAAAGUCCAUCGGAAACUGUUUACAAGCAAGCAUGCCAACGAAAUAUUCCAGUUCUGGAGGAAUACAACAUUAACCUUCAUUAUAAGACGAAGCAUUCUUCAGAUUAUGAUCAGUUGACGCGCGUAUAUCAAAAUUUAAUUCAUUGCUAAAUUCAUACAAAGGUCAAACAAACAUGUUCAAAGAAAUAUCAAAUGAAAGUGAAUCUACGUUUUUGGCCAGUUAUAUUGUAGCCCGCAACAUCGAAAAGAAUCGCCCGUUUGUUAAAGGGGAAUUUUUCCGCGAAUAUAUGCUGCAAGUUUUGGAAAACAUUUCUCCUGAUGUGAAAAGUAACUUUUCCUAUGAACCUAACAAAACAAGCCACAAGAAGCCAUUUAUACGGAGCCGCAUGCUAGUUCAGCAAGUAACUUCAUUAGUCACUAUCGGUUGCAAAUUUAUUGUUAAAACCGUGCUUGUUAUUUAUUCCUCGGGUAUUCUAUCACCUAACUAUGUAAUUAUUAAUUUUAUUACAUAAGAAACUCCGAUGCUAGGUGUAUCUAAAAUCGAUCUUGCAGUUUAUUUUAGUUCCUAUGUUUCAAAAUUUUCUCCGGGCGCUUGAGCGCGCCCUGAACCCCAGUCGUGCCGUCGUGCCCUUUUCGCCGCUCCCCUUUUUUGGCCCGCGAAUAUUCUUUUGCUUCAAUUUUUGGUCCGCGAUCAAUCAACUUUCGGAACUCCCUGGUGUAGAUCGUUUGCCAAAUACAUAACCAAUUUUUAUGAUUUACAAAAUAUUUACGACCCCCUCGGGGACUGUCUAUAUUAGCCAAGUGAAUAUACCUUCUGCCUAUAGGUUUCAGUCCAUUUACACAACUUGAUGUAAAGUAGGCAAACAAAAUUAGUUACCUUCAUAUCGGUACACAUAGCCUACUUCUGGAGCGCCAAAAAUUCAACAUUUGGAUAAUUGCAGGUAAUUCUCUUCCAAAAUGCCAGAAAUUUGUGGGAAUUGCAAAAGUUAGACUAAAAUAAAUAAUAUAAACGACAGAAUUGCUUGGAUGACCUAAUUCGAUAAAAUAAUAUGAUGAUUCAAAUUGCUAAACCUAAAAAGUGUUAAUCAUAAAUGUGUUAAGUUAAUAUUUUUAAAAGGUAUGACAAAGGUGGUCUUGAGUUAUUUCUAUAAAAAUAUUUUUAUCUUUUUGUGCUCUAUCUGUGUGCGUGAAUGUUGGGUUAUGGAAUGUGCGAUUGAAGGUUUCCCAAUUUGUAAUGUUAUAUCGUGCUAGUUUGAUAGUUUUUUUGCAUGAUUCAUGAGUAAAUGAUGGCUGUCGCAUCUUAUUAGUCGCGAACAGGCUUGUCGUCGAAUCUCGCAGGUCCAGUCGGAUUUUCUUUUUUAGACGAGUAUGAAAAUCUUAUCCAAACUCAUUGUCAUUGCAAACAAUCAGAGUGACCAACAUAAAAUUGAUUGAUUGAUUGAAACCCCAAAUGUGUAGGUUAAACUGCCCCUUUGGUAUGUUUUGCCAAUGACAUUAAACAAUUGAUGUCAAUGUGUUUUUUUUAUUGAUUCUCAUAAAAUAAAACAAUAUUGCAAUA